AUUGAACGCUGGCGGCAGGCCUAACACAUGCAAGUCGAGCGGGGUUUUCGGACCUAGCGGCGGACGGGUGAGUAAUGCGUAGGAAGCUACCCGAUAGAGGGGGAUACCAGUUGGAAACGACUGUUAAUACCGCAUAAUGUCUACGGACCAAAGUGUGGGACCUUCGGGCCACAUGCUAUCGGAUGCGCCUACGUGGGAUUAGCUAGUUGGUGAGGUAAUGGCUCACCAAGGCGACGAUCCCUAGCUGGGUUGAGAGGAUGAUCAGCCACACUGGAACGGAGACACGGUCCAGACUCCUACGGGAGUCAGCAGUGGGGAAUAUUGGAAAAUGGGCGCAAGCCUGAUCCAGCCAUGCCGCGUGUGUGAAGAAGGCCUUCGGGUUGUAAAGCACUUUCAGUAGGGAGGAAGCGUUGUGUGUUAAUAGUACACAGCGUUGACGUUACCUACAGAAGAAGCACCGGCUAACUCUGUGCCAGCAGCCGCCGUAACAC
rnacentral:rRNA from 1 species